rnacentral:rRNA from 1 species
UACGUAGGAGGCGAGCGUUAUCCGGAUUUACUGGGCGUAAAGCGGGCGUAGGCGGUCUGUCAAGUCGGAUGUGAAAUCUCCCGGCUCAACUGGGAGGGUGCAUCGGAAACUGAUGGACUGGAGUGCAGCAGAGGAAAGCGGAAUUCCCGGUGUAGUGGUGAAAUGCGUAGAUAUCGGGAAGAACACUAGUGGCGAAGGCGGCUUUCUGGGCUGUAACUGACGCUGAGGUCCGAAGGCGUGGGGAGCAAACAGG